GCCAGUGUGGCGUAACGGUUUCAGUGUCAGACUACGACUCUGGAGACCAGGGUUCGGUUCUUUGCUCAGCCA